rnacentral:snRNA from 1 species
GUGCUCGCUUCGGCAGCACAUAUACUAAAAUUGGAACGAUACAGAGAAGAUUAGCAUGGCCCCUGCACAAGGGUGACACGCAGAUUCGUGAAGGGUUCCAUAUUUUU